AUGAACGCUAGCUACAGGCUUAACACAUGCAAGUCGAGGGGCAGCAUUUUAGUUUGCUUGCAAACUAAAGAUGGCGACCGGCGCACGGGUGAGUAACACGUAUCCAACCUGCCGAUAACUCGGGGAUAGCCUUUCGAAAGAAAGAUUAAUAUCCGAUGGUAUAUUAAAACCGCAUGGUUUUACUAUUAAAGAAUUUCGGUUAUCGAUGGGGAUGCGUUCCAUUAGUUUGUUGGCGGGGUAACGGCCCACCAAGACUACGAUGGAUAGGGGUUCUGAGAGGAAGGUCCCCCACAUUGGAACUGAGACACGGUCCAAACUCCUACGGGAGGCAGCAGUGAGGAAUAUUGGUCAAUGGACGAGAGUCUGAACCAGCCAAGUAGCGUGAAGGAUGACUGCCCUAUGGGUUGUAAACUUCUUUUAUAUGGGAAUAAAGUAUUCCACGUGUGGGAUUUUGUAUGUACCAUAUGAAUAAGGAUCGGCUAACUCCGUGCCAGCAGCCGCGGUAAUACGGAGGAUCCGAGCGUUAUCCGGAUUUAUUGGGUUUAAAGGGAGCGUAGGUGGAUUGUUAAGUCAGUUGUGAAAGUUUGCGGCUCAACCGUAAAAUUGCAGUUGAAACUGGCAGUCUUGAGUACAGUAGAGGUGGGCGGAAUUCGUGGUGUAGCGGUGAAAUGCUUAGAUAUCACGAAGAACUCCGAUUGCGAAGGCAGCUCACUAGACUGCAACUGACACUGAUGCUCGAAAGUGUGGGUAUCAAACAGGAUUAGAUACCCUGGUAGUCCACACAGUAAACGAUGAAUACUCGCUGUUUGCGAUAUACAGUAAGCGGCCAAGCGAAAGCAUUAAGUAUUCCACCUGGGGAGUACGCCGGCAACGGUGAAACUCAAAGGAAUUGACGGGGGCCCGCACAAGCGGUGGAGUAUGUGGUUUAAUUCGACGCAACGCGAAGAACCUUACCAGGUCUUGACAUUGAUCGCGAUCUGCAGAAAUGCGGAGUUCUUCUUCGGAAGACGAGAAAACAGGUGGUGCACGGCUGUCGUCAGCUCGUGUCGUGAGAUGUUGGGUUAAGUCCCGCAACGAGCGCAACCCUUAAGCUUAGUUGCCAUCAUUAAGUUGGGCACUCUAAGUUGACUGCCGGUGACAAACCGGAGGAAGGUGGGGAUGACGUCAAAUCAGCACGGCCCUUACGUCCGGGGCUACACACGUGUUACAAUGGGGGGUACAGAAGGCAGCUACCUGGUGACAGGAUGCUAAUCCCAAAAACCUCUCUCAGUUCGGAUCGAAGUCUGCAACCCGACUUCGUGAAGCUGGAUUCGCUAGUAAUCGCGCAUCAGCCAUGGCGCGGUGAAUACGUUCCCGGGCCUUGUACACACCGCCCGUCAAGCCAUGAAAGCCGGGGGUACCUGAAGUACGUAACCGCAAGGAGCGUCCUAGGGUAAAACUGGUAAUUGGGGCU
rnacentral:rRNA from 1 species